rnacentral:rRNA from 1 species
AAUGGGGGCAACCCUGAUCCAGCAAUGCCGCGUGAAUGAUGAAGGCCUUAGGGUUGUAAAGUUCUUUUAUUGAUGACGAUAAUGACGGUAAUCAAUGAAUAAGCACCGGCUAACUUCGUGCCAGCAGCCGCGGUAAUACGAAGGGUGCUAGCGUUGUUCGGAAUGACUGGGCGUAAAGGGUGCGUAGGCGGCCAGAAGCGUCUGAUGUGAAAUCCCUGGGCUUAACCUAGGAACUGCAUUGGAUACGGUCUGGCUAGAGUCCGCGAGAGGAAGAUGGAAUUGUGCGUGUAGAGGUGAAAUUCGUAGAUAUGCACAAGAACACCGGUGGCGAAGGCGAUCUUCUGGAGCGGUACUGACGCUAAGGCACGAAAGUGUGGGGAGCAAA